CGGCGCUCCCUCUCCCAUCAACUUCAGACCGCCGAAAAAUGGCAAUUUCCGGUGGUCAUCUGUUCCACCCCCAUCACCUAUCAACUUUUUUUUUCUCUUUUCUUCCUUUUCAGAUGUAUCCCCUUCCCCAUGCAUGUCGCUCCUUCAUCCCAUCAAAGAACGGCCAUGGACCAUCGAAAAAUGACAAUAUCCGGCGUCUUUUACUUUAUGUCUCCUCCAUCACUUUCCUUUCUGACCAAAAGAGAUCCCUACACUGCCUAGGCCUGGUCCAUCGGCUCCAAAUGUGAAAGAAAGGAUGGGGUUGAUUGGAUUAGUAAGCAAUAGCUCUUAUUUUCCAAUGAAUAUGUUGAUUUCAAAUCCGAAUAUUGGAUUUGGAUUUUUGCCUAUAAAAGGCAGACCUCUUUCCAUUCGAAACCAAUGAAGAAUGAUCGAUAAAAACGAUUGAAAGACCUCCAAUACACAUGAGAGCUUUUAGAAUUAAAUUGUCUCUCUUCUUUUCUUUCUGUUUUCGAUAUUGAAUCAAGAUCGAGGAAUUUUCGAAGUCGGAAGCUCUUGUUUGCUGUCCAACGAGAGGUAAACUCUUUUUUCAAUCUUCAUCCUAAUUUUGUAAGUAAUAUAUGCGUUUUAGUAAUGUCUAAAUUUAUUCUCUGCUUCUUUGGCAUUUUUUUUUGUCGAUUUCAUGUAUCAAUAGUGUUAUUAUCGAGAUCAAGAAAUAUGUAUCUGAGGUAGGAUGAUAAAAUUUUGAUCCGCUCUUUCUUACUUGUUUAAAGAUGUACUUCUUUAGGUUAUCUUGUCUUGAAUUUCUAUCCAGUUAUUGUUCGUGUUUAGUCGUGUAAUCUUUAUCUAAUUCCCUUGUUGCUCGAGUUUAGUUGUCUAGUUAUGAAUGCCUUGAUUUAUU
rnacentral:misc_RNA from 1 species